rnacentral:rRNA from 1 species
CCCUUAGAUGUUCUGGGCCGCACGCGUGCUACACUGAGUGGAUCAGCGGGUCAGGUUGCGCGAAAGUGUUUCCUAAUCUUUAAAUCCGCUCGUGAUGGGGAUUGACGGUUGCAAUUUUCCGUCAUGAACGAGGAAUACCUUGUAAGCGCGGGUCAUCAUCCCGCGCUGAAUACGUCCCUGCCCUUUGUACACACCGCCCGUCGCUCCUACCGAUUGAGUGGUCCGGUGAGGCUUUGGGAUCUGAGCGGAAAGAGCGUUUCGCUGUUUCUGCCCGGAAAACUCCGUCGAACCUUACCAUUUAGAGGAAGGAGAAGUCGUAACA